rnacentral:rRNA from 1 species
UACGGAGGAGGCAAGCGUUAUCCGGAAUUAUUGGGCGUAAAGCGUCCGCAGGUGGCACUUCAAGUCUGUCGUCAAAGACUGGGGCUUAACCCUGGAAAGGCGGUGGAAACUGAAGCGCUAGAGUGCGGUAGGGGUAGAGGGAAUUCCCGGUGUAGCGGUGAAAUUCGUAGAUAUUAGGAAGAACACCAGUGGCGAAGGCGGCUCACUGGUCCGGUACUGACGCUGAGGUGCGAAAGCCAGGGGAGCAAACGGG